rnacentral:rRNA from 1 species
GACGAACGCUGGCGGCGUGCUUAACACAUGCAAGUCGAACGGAAAGGCCCUGCUUUUGUGGGGUGCUCGAGUGGCGAACGGGUGAGUAACACGUGAGUAACCUGCCCUUGACUUUGGGAUAACUUCAGGAAACUGGGGCUAAUACCGGAUAGGAGCUCCUGCUGCAUGGUGGGGGUUGGAAAGUUUCGGCGGUUGGGGAUGGACUCGCGGCUUAUCAGCUUGUUGGUGGGGUAGUGGCUUACCAAGGCUUUGACGGGUAGCCGGCCUGAGAGGGUGACCGGCCACAUUGGGCCUGAGAUACGGCCCAGACUCCUACGGGAGGCAGCGGUGGGGAAUUUUGCACAAUGGGCGGAAGCCUGAUGCAGCAACGCCGCGUGCGGGAUGACGGCCUUCGGGUUGUAAACCGCUUUCGCCUGUGACGAAGCGUGAGUGACGGUAAUGGGUAAAGAAGCACCGGCUAACUACGU